rnacentral:rRNA from 1 species
GGAAUCUUCCACAAUGGACGCAAGUCUGAUGGAGCAACGCCGCGUGAGUGAAGAAGGCUUUCGGGUCGUAAAACUCUGUUAUUGAAGAAGAACGUGCGUGACAGUAACUGGUCAUGCAGUGACGGUAUUCAAUCAGAAAGUCACGGCUAACUACGUGCCAGCAGCCGCGGUAAUACGUAGGUGGCAAGCGUUGUCCGGAUUUAUUGGGCGUAAAGCGAGUGCAGGCGGUCUUUUAAGUCUGAUGUGAAAGCCUUCGGCUUAACCGAAGAAGGGCAUCGGAAACUGGGAGACUUGAGUGCAGAAGAGGAGAGUGGAACUCCAUGUGUAGCGGUGAAAUGCGUAGAUAUAUGGAAGAACACCAGUGGCGAAGGCGGCUCUCUGGUCUGUAACUGACGCUGAGGCUCGAAAGCGUGGGUAGCAAACA